AAACCUGAAGUUAUCCUGAGAACAAACGUCACUGCCAUGGAAACACUGCUCCACGUUCCUGAUGGUGCACUGGUUUUCUUUCCUGUCUGACCAACAAGCCUCUGGAGAAUGGUCACCAUCUUACAGGCUCACUUUGUAUUCUGUAAACUUUCAGUUUGAAAAUAAACACAUUGUCUCCCUGUCAAAGCUCUACCGUGCAUGAGUAUUUCUCAAGAGCCAGGGCGGAUGGUAGAGACAGACCAAGCAUUUCCAAGGAAACCAAAGGGGCAUAAUUGCUUCUUUCCAGGUAAUGUGGAUGCACUGGAUGGGGUCAGCUGCGUCACAGUGGAUCAUUUUCUUGUUAGCGUCUGGCCAGAGUGAUGUGAGUACCACGGGCUUCCUGAAUGACGCUGCACAGGCCCAU
rnacentral:lncRNA from 1 species